CGGGGAGUGGCUCAGCUUGGUAGAGCACCUGGUUUGGGACCAGGGGGUCGCAGGUUCAAAUCCUGUCUCCCCGACCA
rnacentral:tRNA from 3 species